CAUCGCGAAGGCCCACGGCGGGUGUUGACGUGAUGUGAUUUCUGCCCAGUGCUCUGAAUGUCAAACUGAAGAAAUUCAGUGAAAUGCGGGUAAACGGCGGGAGUAACUAUGACUCUCUUAAGGUAGCUAAAUGCCUUGUCAUCUAAUUAGUGACGCGCAGCCAAGGGAACGGGCUUGGUGGAAUCAGCGGGGAAAGAAGACCCUGUUGAGUUUGACUCUAGUCUGGCAUGGUGAAGAGACACGAGAGGUGUAGAAUAAGUGGGAGGCCCCCAGCGCCCCCCCAUCCCCGCGAGGGGGCAGGGCGGGGUCCGUCGGCCUUGCGGGCCGCCGGUGAACUACCACUACUCUGAUCACCAAAAUAGCAUGGU
rnacentral:lncRNA from 10 species